rnacentral:piRNA from 1 species
UGAUGAUGUUGUGGACUCCCC